AAUAGAUACCCAGGUAGUCCACGCCGUAAACGAUGAGUGCUAAGUGUUAGAGGGUUUCCGCCCUUUAGUGCUGCAGCUAACGCAUUAAGCACUCCGCCUGGGGAGUACGGCCGCAAGGCUGAAACUCAAAGGAAUUGACGGGGGCCCGCACAAGCGGUGGAGCAUGUGGUUUAAUUCGAAGCAACGCGAAGAACCUUACCAGGUCUUGACAUCCUCUGCCAACCCUAGAGAUAGGGCGUUCCCCUUCGGGGGACAGAGUGACAGGUGGUGCAUGGUUGUCGUCAGCUCGUGUCGUGAGAUGUUGGGUUAAGUCCCGCAACGAGCGCAACCCUUGAUCUUAGUUGCCAGCAUUCAGUUGGGCACUCUAAGGUGACUGCCGGUGACAAACCGGAGGAAGGUGGGGAUGACGUCAAAUCAUUAUGCCCCUUAUGACCUGGGCUACACACGUGCUACAAUGGAUGGUACAAAGAGCAGCGAACCCGCGAGGGUAAGCCAAUCUCAUAAAGCCAUUCUCAGUUCGGA
rnacentral:rRNA from 1 species